GUCCUUUUGUUAAUAAUUUAAGGUCUAACCUGCCCACUGAGUAUUAAAUGGCCGCGGUAUUUUGACCGUGCUAAGGUAGCAUAAUCAUUAGUUUUUUAAUUGAAAGCUGGAAUGAAGGGUUGAAUGAAAAAAUAACUGUCUUAAAUUAAUUUUAUUAAAACUUUAUUUUUAAGUUAAAAAGCUUAAAUAUUUUUAAAAGACGAGAAGACCCUAUAGAGUUUUAUAAAAACUAUAUUUUAAAAUUUUAGAAUUUUUAUUUUUUAAGUAUUUUAUUUAUUUGAUUGGGGUGAUUAAAAAAUUUAUUAAACUUUUUUUUUAUUUUAAUAUUAAUUAAUAAAUAUUUGAUCCUAUAAUUUAGAUUAAAAGAAAAAAUUACCUUAGGGAUAACAGCGUAAUCUUAUUAGAGAGUUCAAAUCGAUAAUAGGGGUUGCGA
rnacentral:rRNA from 1 species